AGAGUAAUAUUAUUACCUCCAAAAUUUGGAGAUCUGAAGUUUGGGGUCUAUUUAAAAUCUGGUGGAUUUCUGAUUGGAAGAACUGUGGCUGUUUUGAUAACUAUGACGAUUGGGACCUCGAUGGCUGCUCGUCAAGGUCCUCUAGCUAUGGCUGCUCAUCAAAUCUGUAUGCAAGUGUGGUUGGCUGUCUCUCUUUUAACUGAUGGAUUGGCCGCAUCUGGUCAGGUCUACACUCCGAGGAAUGCGCCUAUACUAGUGAGGAAAUUGAUGUGGU